rnacentral:rRNA from 1 species
AUUGAACGCUGGCGGCAUGCCUUACACAUGCAAGUCGAACGGUAACAGGUUAAGCUGACGAGUGGCGAACGGGUGAGUAAUGUAUCGGAACGUGCCCAGUCGUGGGGGAUAACUGCUCGAAAGAGCAGCUAAUACCGCAUACGACCUGAGGGUGAAAGCGGGGGAUCGCAAGACCUCGCGCGAUUGGAGCGGCCGAUAUCAGAUUAGGUAGUUGGUGAGGUAAAGGCUCACCAAGCCGACGAUCUGUAGCUGGUCUGAGAGGACGACCAGCCACACUGGGACUGAGACACGGCCCAGACUCCUACGGGAGGCAGCAGUGGGGAAUUUUGGACAAUGGGCGCAAGCCUGAUCCAGCCAUGCUGCGUGCGGGAAGAAGGCCUUCGGGUUGUAAACCGCUUUUGUCAGGGAAGAAAAGGUUCUGGCUAAUACCUGGGACUCAUGACGGUACCUGAAGAAUAAGCACCGGCUAACUACGUG